UACGGGGGGGGCAAGCGUUGUUCGGAAUUACUGGGCGUAAAGGGCUCGUAGGUGGCCAACUAAGUCGGACGUGAAAUCCCUCGGCUUAACCGGGGAACUGCGUCCGAUACUGGAUGGCUUGAGUUUGGGAGAGGGAUGCGGAAUUCCAGGUGUAGCGGUGAAAUGCGUAGAUAUCUGGAGGAACACCGGUGGCGAAGGCGGCAUCCUGGACCAACACUGACACUGAGGAGCGAAAGCGUGGGGAGCAAACAGG
rnacentral:rRNA from 1 species